AGUGAACGCUGGCGGUAGGCCUAACACAUGCAAGUCGAACGGCAGCACAGUAAGAGCUUGCUCUUACGGGUGGCGAGUGGCGGACGGGUGAGGAAUACAUCGGAAUCUACUUUUUCGUGGGGGAUAACGUAGGGAAACUUACGCUAAUACCGCAUACGACCUACGGGUGAAAGCAGGGGAUCUUCGGACCUUGCGCGAUUGAAUGAGCCGAUGUCGGAUUAGCUAGUUGGCGGGGUAAAGGCCCACCAAGGCGACGAUCCGUAGCUGGUCUGAGAGGAUGGUUCGCCCCCCUGUGAAUUAGGCCCCGUCCCGACCCCCAAGGGGUGGCGCCGUUGGGAAUAUUUGGCCAUGGGCCCAAGGCUGAUCCCGGCCUACCCGCGUGGUUAAGAAGGCCCUCCGGUUGUUAAGCCCUUUUGUUUGGAAAGAAAAACCGCCGGUUUAUUCCCCCCUUUUCUGACCGUACCCAAAGAAUAAGCCCCCGCUAACUUCGUU
rnacentral:rRNA from 1 species